rnacentral:misc_RNA from 1 species
ACCACCACCACCACCACCACCACCGCCACCACCUCCUCCAUUGGUCACCCAGAAACCCAACUAAAUUCAUCUCUUGCUACUACGCCUCCUAACUCAUCAGCCUCCUCUGUUCAACAAGGUGAAGAAGUUCGUGACAAUGGCAUUAUUAAGAGGAUCUUUAAUCCUUAUGGUGCUGCAGCUUAUAACUUCAUCACCAUGGGUACUUACAGAGGUGGACUCAAUACUUUUGCCAUUAUAGGCUUGUCUUCAAAACCUCUUCAUCUUUAUGCAAAACCCACCUACCAAUGCGAGUGGGUUCCGCAACCCUCCUCUUCCGACAACUCUUCCGCCGUCCCCAUCACCUCCACUGCUUACAAGAUACUUCCUGAUUGGGGAUAUGGCCGCGUUUACACUGUUGUUGUUGUGAAUUGUACGUUUUCUCAACCCAUAAACACUAAUAAUUCAGGUGGGAAAUUGUUCCUACACGCCUCCACAUCAGGCGGUGGUGACAAAAACUUCAACAUUACCGACAGAUUUGAGGUUCUUCAAGAACAAUCAGGGAAAUUAAACUUGACUGUUUUCACAUCCAAACCCAAAUACGAAUAUUUGUAUUGCGGGUCUUCUCUCUAUGGUGGUUUGAGUCCACAGAGAGUCAGGGAAUGGAUUGCUUACCAUGUGAGGCUAUUUGGCGAGAGAUCCCAUUUUGUGAUACACGAUGCAGGUGGGGUUCAUGAGGAGGUGAUGGAGGUUUUGAGGCCAUGGAUGGAUUUGGGAUAUGUGACAUUGCAGGACGUAAGAGAGCAAGAGAGGUUUGAUGGGUAUUACCAUAACCAGUUCAUGGUGGUUAAUGACUGCUUGCAUAGGUACAAAUUUGUGACCAAGUGGAUGUUCUUCUUUGAUGUUGAUGAGUACAUUUAUGUGCCUCCAAAGAAUACCAUCAAGUCUGUGUUGGAUUCCCUCUCCGAUUAUAACCAGUUCACUAUUGAGCAGAUGCCCAUGAGCAACAAGCUCUGCCUCUCGGCUGAUUAUGGUAGAUAUUACAGGUAAGAUCAUGUUUCUUUCUUUUUAAUCAUCUUUUUCUUUUUUCCCCCUUUUGAUUUGGUAUAAUUUAAGUAAUUAGUUGUGGAAAUUGCUUUGUUAAUUGUGAACUUAAAAUAUGAUUUUUAUUUUUAUUUUUUUUUGUUUUGAGUAAUUUAUAUUAAUUGGGCAUGCUUACGAAACUUUGAUGUUUAACGAGAAAACAGGGCAAAAAUGUGAAGUAAGUUUUUGGUUAGAUGUUCUAGUAUUUUUGUUAACAGAAAAACAAAAAAUUGCUAUUUGCAUCAAUUUAUAUUUUUGAUCAUGGAAUUUACACAAUGGAAUUGCUUAUUUUAACUUUACUAAUGAAUAUUGAAUAAAGUCUCCAACAUGUUUAUCUCAACUUGAAUGAGGAAUAUGCAGAGUUGGAGGAAGCAAUUGGAUGUCUAUAACAUUAUUGGAUUGUUUUGUGUGAAUUAAUGUGAUAUUAUUUGCAAUCUUGUGGUGGUUGAUUGAUUGGAACAUUUUAACACUAAUGUUGAAAAGGAAAAAGAGUAAAAAGGUAAAAAGAAAAUAAAUAUAUGAUCAAAUGGUGUGUACAUGUUUGGAAUUGUUCUUCUGGUGUUUGUAUUUUGAUUCUUUCCUGUUGAUUGUAUUAGGGCAAAUGGAAGUGGGAGUGAUUGUCUCUUAUUCAUAUGAUUAGGACCAUGUCAAUUCUUUUCAUUAUCUAACUUGUUUUAAUGAAGAGUAGUAAGUCACGCUUAAUUACUGAUGUUCUCUUCUUCAAGAAAAAGGGUAAGAACCACUGAUCAAUUUUAUGUUCAUUGUGCUAGUGAAGAAGAGACUGUAGUGAUGAAAUGAACUACAAAAAAAAACAAAAGGAAUUAAUUAGAUAAGUUGUGAGUGAUCAAUUAUGUUGGUGCUUAUUCAUCAAAAGAAAAUUACAUCAAUUUUUAUAUUGAGAUUUGAUAUAGAUGGGGAAACAUAAAAUUUAAGAUUGAUAGGCCAUUUUUUUUUGGGAUUUAUUGUGAUGUGGACCUCUACAUUUUAACCCAAAUAGUCAUUAGUGAUUUUGAUUGUGACACUGCUGCCAGGAUUUCAUAUCAUCUCUUAUAUGUUUUUUAUUCUGAGAAUUACUUUCAUGCUUAAGAUGCUUCGUCCCCUUUUGACAAGUGCUCGAUGGAUGCUAAGCAAAUGACAUAACAAAAGAAAGCAAAUAAUGUAGUAUUUUUUAAUAAAUGAAGUAUUGUAAUGAAUGUUGCACUUGUGAUUGGAAUGAAUCUUGUUCUCUUUUGUAACAUAUGGUGUGCAAUAUGUGGUGAUUUACAGGAAAUGGGGGUUCGAGAAACUGGUAUACAGGGAUAUCAAAAGAGGCAUAAGGAGGGAUCGCAAGUAUGCGAUCCAACCGAAGAAUGUUUUCGCAACUGGUGUGCACAUGUCACAGAACCUGGCCGGGAAGACUACACACAAGACAGAGAGCAGGAUCAAAUAUUUCCAUUACCAUGGAACUAUAGCACAAAGGCGUGAACCUUGCCGGAACUUACUCAAUGUGACAGAGAUAAACUUUGAAAACAACCCUUAUGUUCUGGAUACAACAAUGCGAGAUAUUGCUUGGUCUGUGAAGAAAUUUGAGCAGAAAAUGAUUGGCACGAGGUUAAAAAAUACAAGGCAAUGACAGAACAUAUAUAUAAUAAAUAUAUUUGUUCUUCAUUUAUUUAUAGGAUUUUUUUCACCCUUUUUUUUCUUCUUUUGUUAUUCAUAUUGAUCUUUGAGUAGAACAGAAAAUAUUCAGGGGGUUUCCUUUAUUUGUGUAUGAUAAUAUUUCUUUUGUUUGUGAAUGGUAUAGAGAAACAGAUAAUAUAUGCUACAUAUGUAAUAUGGGAGGAGUUACAUUCUUUUCAGUAUAUUUAUUUUUCAAUAAUUUAUGUUGUUUCUUUGUGAACGGUAUCAAAAUUUUAUUGAUUGCUUGUCGGUGAAAGGGGCCUACCAAUGUCACCACCAAUAGGAGGUGGACAAUGUGGUCUUGUUUGCUUGCUUUAGCUGGAUGGGUGCUGCACUUUUUGGUUUUACCCUAAUCAUCAUACCCACAUGUGUUUAUGGUUUGUUGGAUGAUACAGGUUUUUUUAGGUGGAUUAGAACAAAAGUAACAUGUGGUAUUUGAUUUUUGGUACUCGCAGGCUGUGAUCUUAAUUUGAUCAUUUUGACAAGUCAAGAGAGACAUGUGGGUGACAGGAAACUAUGAUACCUUUUUAUUUUCUCUUUUUUUUUUGUUAA